rnacentral:rRNA from 1 species
GCUAAACGCGAAGAACCUUACCUGGUCUUGACAUCCAUGGAACCCUGCAGAGAUGCGGGGGUGCCGUAAGGAACCAUGAGACAGGUGCUGCAUGGCUGUCGCCAGCUCGUGUCGUGAGAUGUUGGGUUAAGUCCCGCAACGAGCGCAACCCUUGUCCUUAGUUGCCAGCGAGUAAUGUCGGGAACUCUAAGGAGACUGCCGGUGACAAACCGGAGGAAGGUGGGGAUGACGUCAAGUCCUCAUGGCCCUUACGGCCAGGGCUACACACGUACUACAAUGGUCGGUACAGAGGGUUGCCAAACCGCAAGGUGGAGCCAAUCCCAGAAAGCCGAUCCCAGUCCGGAUCGGAGUCUGCAACUCGACUCCGUGAAGUCGGAAUCGCUAGUAAUCGCGGAUCAGCUAUGCCGCGGUGAAUACGUUCCCGGGUCUUGUACACACCG